rnacentral:tRNA from 8 species
GGGCGUUUAGCUCAGCUGGUUAGAGCGUUGCAUUCACAUUGCAAAGGUCACUGGUUCGAGUCCAGUAACGCCCACAA